rnacentral:rRNA from 1 species
AUGCUUGCACUUGUUGGAGCAAGGGAACCGCUUGUUCAACCACAGACGUGCCAGCGUGGUACAGUGCCGCUCAAGUCUCUGGCCAGGCCAAGGCUUUCUUCAGUUACCAUGACCGAAAAAGAAACCAAUACACACGACGGUCUAAUUCCCGGUUUGCCGGAAGACAUGGCGAAGAUAUGCCUCGCUCUCGUCCCUCGGAGACAUUUCCCCUCCAUGGGUGCAGUGUCCAGGAGGUGGAUGUCAUUCAUCGACAGCAGAGAGUUCAGUGCUGUGAGGAAGGAGGUUGGGAAGAUUGAAGGGUUGGUCUAUGUCCUUGCUGCUGAAGCUGGAGAAAAGGGGUGUCGCUGGGAGGUCUUGGGGGAGCGCAAAAACAGUGCAAUUCCUCCUAUGCCUGGGCUGACCAAAGCUGGGUUCGGUGUGGUGGUUCUCUAUGGGAAGUUGUAUGUCAUUGCUGGCUAUGCUGCUGUCCAUGGGAAGGACUCUGUUUCCGACGAGGUUUACCAGUAUGAUGCUCGGCUCAACAGGUGGGGUGCACUCGCCAAGAUGAAUGUUGCACGUCGCGACUUCGCCUGCGCCGAGGUCGACGGCACGAUAUACGCUGCCGGUGGAUUCGGCUCCAGCGGCAACAGUCUGUCCAGCGUGGAAGCAUACGAUCCCCAGCAAAACAGAUGGACGCUGAUCGACGGCCUUCGCAGGCCAAGAUGGGGCUGCUUCGCCAGCGGGCUAAACAGCAAGCUGUACAUAAUGGGCGGCCGCUCGAGCUUCACGAUCGGCAACUCCCGCUUCGUCGACGUCUACGAUCCCGGCCGCAGCCGCUGGGAGGAGAUCAAGAGAGGCUGCGUCAUGGUCACCUCGCACGCGGUUGUGGGCGAGAGCUUGUUCUGCGUCGAGUGGAAGAACCAGCGCUGCCUCUCGGCGUUCGACCCUUCGGACAGUUCUUGGAAGAAGAUCCCGGUGCCGCUCACCGGCAGUUCAAGCACCAGGUUCUGCCUUGGGGCGCGUGGCGGGAAGCUGCUGCUGCUGUCGCAGGAGGAAGAGGGUGGGUACUGGACGAUGACGUACGAUCCGGCUGCGGCGCCGGGUUCGGAGUGGGGGACGUCGGAGCUGAAGCCGUCGGGGUUGUGCCUCUGCAGUGUGACCAUUCAGGUUUGA